AGAAAUUCUGAAAGGAUUGCAAAAGCAAAAGCAGGACCCAGGUGAUGGGGCUGGGACAAAGGAGGAAUUUCAGGAGGAGAAAACAGUGGCUCAGAGAUUGAAGCUUAAUAUCCUGCUUUUCAUAAAGUCAAAAUAGCACCAAAACAGAACUCAAAGAACACUGGACUGAACUCCAAAAAAAACCAUACAACUCUUCCCAGACCAUUACCUAUUCACACAGCAGACUUGAUAAGAAGAAAAAAAUGACACACUAUCAAAUUUCCAUUUAUGUAGAUGAUAAGAUCAAGGUGGAAGAGAAGAAACAAUGAGAAAGUAGAGUGUUUGGAGACCAUGGAACUGUCUGGGGGUUCUCUAUUCUCCCGUAUACACUGAGGAGAUUCUAGACUGUAUUUGAACAGAGAUAGGAGAAUAAAAGAUAAACAUGGAGCCUAAAGCACUGUUCAGAUGACAUCAUAACUGUGUCUAACAAAGGGUGGAAAGUAACUCAGAAAUUUUCAAGAAAGUGAUUAGAAGAAAUUGCUGAUCUGCUGCUGUAGAUGGAUACAGAUGUCUGUUCCCAGAAGAAGCAGACCCAUCUGUGUACACUGCAGCUUCAUUGCUCUGGGACAGCUUCCUGCUGAAUGCAACACAGCUAAAUCUAGAGCAAAUUGAUUGUAAACUGAAAGAAACCCAAAGGUUGAUGGUGUUACUGAGAAAGGAGGCAUGGAUUACAUAAAGGAGAAAACGAAGGUGGGAUCAAGGCACCAACCUGCUGCCUCAGCUGGCAGGGUCACUUGUGUGUUCCAGGCUUGAGAUUCUUUGUAUAGCUGCAGGGUUGUGGUCUUUCCUGAACUUCUGACUUAUAACAUUCCCAGAAGACACGUGAUACUAGUAAUAACAAGAAAACACAAGUACUAUAGAAACUGGAUAUUUUUCUGAGUAUGUUAAGAUUCCUAACUUUAAGAGACAUUUGAAUUUGUCCACAAAGUUUCUCUUAUUUUUUAUUGAAGGUCAGGUAUCAUGAAGCUAUGGUUUAAGGGACAUAUCUAACCUGUUGCCUGCUUUUGUAUAUAGAGUGGAGCCAGUAAAAUAAAGAUGGUUUAAAUUUU